AGUGAACGCUGGCGGUAGGCCUAACACAUGCAAGUCGAACGGCAGCACAGUAAGAUCUUGCUCUUACGGGUGGCGAGUGGCGGACGGGUGAGGAAUACAUCGGAAUCUACUUUUUCGUGGGGGAUAACGUAGGGAAACUUACGCUAAUACCGCAUACGACCUACGGGUGAAAGCAGGGGAUCUUCGGACCUUGCGCGAUUGAAUGAGCCGAUGUCGGAUUAGCUAGUUGGCGGGGUAAAGGCCCACCAAGGCGACGAUCCGUAGCUGGUCUGAGAGGAUGAUCGGCCACACUGGAACUGAGACACGGUCCAGACUCCUACGGGAGGCAGCAGUGGGGAAUAUUGGACAAUGGGCGCAAGCCUGAUCCAGCCAUACCGCGUGGGUGAAGAAGGCCUUCGGGUUGUAAAGCCCUUUUGUUGGGAAAGAAAAGCAGCAGGUUAAUACCCCGCUGUUCUGACGGUACCCAAAGAAUAAGCACCGACUAACUUCGUG
rnacentral:rRNA from 1 species